AGCCAAAGGGGUCUGUGUGUGGCCGGGGAGGAUGGCGGGGGAGUGAGCCCCAUGGAACAGCCAGGAACUGAUAAAAGAUGAGGGGACAAAGACAGUGUGUGUCUGGGAAGCUGGGCUGAGAGGAGGAGGUGCCGCCGCCUGGGGGUACUCCGAUGCUUCCGGGGAUUCCGAGCCAGCUGGAGGACCGCACGUGGCGAACGGCGGGCGCGGCGCGUAGUCAGGGAACCAGGGUGCCUGACUGGGUGUCUCGUGGAGCCAUCCCGCGGGGGUGUGGGGGGGCCACGGUGCCGGAAGGCGCGCGGCCCAGAGGCCGUCUCCGCCGAACGCCCGCUCCUCGCCUUCCUAACCGCAGCACUUUCGCGAGCCUCCCUACGAGGGGCGGGGCGAAACAGGUGCGGUUGCCACGGCACCCGGACCACAGCCUCGCGAGAUUUGGAAUCAGCCAAUGGGGGCGGGGUAGGGGAAGACGUGGCACCAGUCGGAGGGGCGGGGCUGGGAGGGGCUCCUCCCUACCGCCCCCAAUUCCGCCCUGCCCCCGCCGCGGCGGCGCUAGCCGCCACUGAGGGACCGACCCUAUAAAGGCCGCUC
rnacentral:lncRNA from 1 species